UACGUAGGGGGCUAGCGUUGUUCGGAAUUACUGGGCGUAAAGCGUGCGCAGGCGGCUUCUCAAUUCAGUGGUGAAAGCCCGGAGCUCAACUCCGGAAUUGCCAUUGAAACUGUGGAGCUUGAGGACGAGAGAGGUGAGUGGAAUUCCCAGUGUAGAGGUGAAAUUCGUAGAUAUUGGGAAGAACACCGGUGGCGAAGGCGGCUCACUGGCUCGUUUCUGACGCUCAGGCACGAUAGCGUGGGGAUCAAACAGG
rnacentral:rRNA from 1 species